UUCUUCAAACUCUCUGAAAAAGUUCCCCGAAUAGAGGUCGGUAAGUUGUUGAUAAGAUUUCUUGAUGAGAUUGAGGUCGUCGGAUCGGGCAGACAGUGUGGACAGAAAGGCAAGGCGUCUGCAAUUGUUCCAUUUCUUGUGCUGGGCAACAAGAUCGACACCCCUUAUGCUGCUUGAAGAUGAACUUCGAUAUCACCUAGGACUGACCAAUUUCACAACUGGCAAGGGGGGAAGGUGAAUAUGAUCAAUUUUGGCUCAGUAUUUGUGUGAUUGGUGAAUUAACGGAAGAGGAAUUUCGAGUUUGAUCAGUCGGCGGCACUGUGAACAGAGAGGUGAUGGAAGAUGAUAAAACCAUCCUGGUAUGACAUGUAAAUUAUUAAAUUGCUUAAGGUUGUUUUUUGUUAUUUGAAAGUUACACUAAAGGAAUCUGGAUCCUCUUUGUGAGGAUUCUGGGAAUCCGUGAGUCAUAUUAGUUUUUUUCGUACAUUGCGAUCAGAAAUUAUUUUAAAUAUUUUUAUUUAAAAUUAAAUACAAACAGUACCUGAUAAAAAUUAACCACAUGAUAUACGAUGAAUAGACACGAUUUACAAAUCUCUAAGAUCCUUACUAAAAGGAUUCGGAAAGAAUACACAAGACCUCGUGUCUCUGGAAAAAGGAAUUAACUUCGCUGCUGAACAUUUCAGCAGGAAUUCCUGCUUACACUCAAUACCGGAUGAACAAGUGUCCACCCGAAAUUAAAUGUAAGCAGGACGUCCCGUUGAAAUUUUAACAGCGAAGUCUUUGUGCCUGGAAAAAUAGGUUUGCGCAGAAGCGCAAACACAGCAAAAGACCCCGUUUUACAAAGUUUGCAUUUGCUAAUUUUGCUUUUUCCACCCAGAUUGUGAAAAAGGUGAUUCUAGGAGGAUUACCAAACACUGAAAAGGUCAUGUUUUUUUUUAUAUAUACUUGUUUUUUUUUUUUUAAAUCACAGCAUAACCAAAUCAGAACUUAAUAGUGCUAUAAUUUUCAAUGAAUAAUAUAAAGAACAAUUUUAGUAGCAUAUUUAACUGUUUGGAGUGACAAAUUAUAUACCAUAUAGCUGUGUAUUUCAAAUUACAAGUUUCUUUUCAGUUUUUUAUGCCAAGUUUAGCUGUGUAUUAGGAAAACAAAUGCAAUUAGGGUUAAUUAGAGAGUUGAAGAUGGGUAUGUAUGUAUGUUUGUAUAUAUGUAAAUAGGCUGGAUAAUAUAAUUUAUAAGGGUUUCAAAGCCAAUUGUCGUUAAUUAGGAAAUGUGACUUGUCUGUAAAUACAUGUAACGGUUGUGUUGGAAUUUAAAAAUGUUUGAGUACUAGUUCUAACAUCUCAAAGCCAAAUGGAUUAAUAAUGUCUCUUUUGGAUUUUACCUCAGUUACUAAGCAAUAUACGUUUUAUUGAUUAACGGGAUAGUGGGAUUCAAAUUAUGUUUCGUUUUUGUCAACUAAAGUGAAUUGUUCGUUACAAACUAACUUUUGAUUUAAUAUUUUUUAUUCAAAAUUGAAAACGAGACAUAAUUCAAAUCCCGCUUUCCUGUUAAGCAAUAAAAACAUAUAUUGCUUUGUAACAAAGGGAAAUCCAAGAGAGACAUAAUUAAUCCACUAGGAUUUGAGUUGUCAUAUCUAAUCACCAAACAUUUUCAAAUUCCAACACAACCUUGGAUGCAUUUACAGACAAGGCACAUUUCCAAAUGACAAUUGGCUUUAAAACCCUUAACCAUAUUAUCGAUAAACACCUUAUAUCCAUGAGUAAUGCUAGAGACAUCAAAUUUUUAAGGGAACUAAAUUAGGUAAAUCAAAUAAUGUUGUUGUUGAUGGUUGAAUUGUCACUUAAAUUUUGAGUAUUGUGCUUAUUUUCUAUUAGUGACACAUCUUGUGAUUUGCAAAUUUAGGUCUUCCUAGUAUUAUCUAUACAUAUAUACAUACAUAUGUGUCUAUCAUCAACUCUCACCUUGCAUGUGCUUAUAAGUAGUUGAGCUAUUCCUCAUAUUGCCAAUUGAUUUUAUGGUAGAACCCCAAUUUCUUCAUAGUAUCAGAGCAAAUUGUCCCAUGUGCGAAACUCAACGGCCCCACACGUGCCCCACAUAACUUGAGUUGUGUUGUCCACGUGUUAGACUUGAAAUUCGUCACACAUAACACGUGAAGGAGCUUGUUGAGAAUAAAUCUCACAUUGAUGAAAAGAAACUUUGCAUGUGCUCAGAAUAAUUGGAUUAUUCCUCAUAUUACCAAUUGAGUUUAUGAUGGAACUUCAACUUCUUCACUCCCUACCGUCAUCUUCCUCAGCAAAGAACUAAUGGCAAAUUUUAAAGCUGGUGCUGUUGCAAAUACCAAAGCAAAAAAUUGUGUUGUCCACGUACCCCACAUAUGUUAGGUAUCAGCAACAUUUAUAAGAUUUUGGCUACUGUCGAGCCGGAUUAAAGACAGCUGAGACUAUACUCUUUCAAGGGAAUACAUGGAGGAAUGAUCCUUCGGUUGGUUGCCUUGGUGUUACAAAUUGUUCCUCCUCGAACAAAUAUAUUUCUAUGAGAAAGAACUUGAGAUUACAAAUUGAUAUCUAGCAAUUUACAGGGAAUUAAAACAGAAGCUUGAUUCGUAGAAUAUACAACCAACACAAGGAGCAGCGGUCGUCCCUGAUCAAGUAGGGCAUAUGAUUUUAAUUUUUAUUAAUUCAGUCUUCUUGUUUUUUUUUUAUUGAAUUAUUGUUAGUUGAUCUAUAUUUUUCUGACCAACAACAUAUAUAUAUAUAUAUAGACUAAAAUAAUUGAUGUGAAAUUUAGGUCUUCGGGUCAUGGUGUAGACAUCGAAAUUUCGGAAGUUUCGUGUUUACACAUGACUGAGGUGAAAAAAGUAUGAAGAAGGGUACAUCUGCACGUUGAGUUUGGAAGACACGCCUUCGACUUCUGCCUCAUGCACCCAUGCAAGUUUCAGUGUACCCUUCUUCAUACUUUUUCAUCUCAGCCACGUGGAAGACGAACUUUUGAAAUUUUGAUGUCUACUACACCGUGAUCUGAGGGAACUAAAUUCACAGUAUAAGUAAUAAUAAAUCAAUUAUUUUAGUCUACAUACAUACAUACAUAUAUAUAUAUAUAUAUAUGUUGUUGGUUCCAAAAAUAUAGAUCAAUUAACAAUAAUUCAGUAAAAAAAAAAAUAAGGAGACUGAAUCAUUAAAAAUUAAUAUCUGACUUACUUGAUUAGGGACGACCGGUGCUGCUUGUGUUGGUUGUAUUUUCUGCGAAUCGAGCAUCUGUUUUAAUUCCCUGUAAAUUGCUAGAUAUCAAUUUGUAAUCUCAAGUUCUUUCUCAUAGAAAUCUAUUUGUUCUCGGAGGAAUAAUCCGGUAACACCAAGGCAACCAACCAAACGAUUAUCCCUCCAUGUAUUCCCUUGAAGAGUAUUAGUCUCAGUUGAUGCUUGUCUUUGAUCUGGCUCGACUGUAGCCAGAAUCUUAUAAAUGUUUCUAAUGCCGAACAUAUGCUGCGCAUUUACAAAUUCUACAUUUUCUCCUUUGGUAUUUGCAGGCAGCACCAGCUAAUUUAAAAUUUGCCAUGAGUUCUUUGUUGAGGAAGUGAGUGUACGGAUUGAAGAAGUUACCAAUUAACUAUAUGGGGAAUAGCACAACUAACUUUAAACGAGCUCAUUAAAUUCUUGUAUUUUGGUUAGUUUUAUUUGCAGUUGUUUGCAAAUUUUAUUGCUUGAAAUUGUAGAUACGCGCUAUGUGGAAGGCUUCGUGGAUUCAUGUUAUGAGAGCUGCUCCAAAAAUAACCGAAUCAAUUUAGGCAUUGUGCCAUUGUGUAUUGAUGCCUUGCUGCACGCAAAAAAUAAAUGACAAACUAUGUCUUGCAUGAACAAAUUUCAAUUUAAAGCAAUAAUAAGUUUUACCCAAUUGUUUGAA